GACGAACGCUGGCGGCGUGCUUAACACAUGCAAGUCGAACGGAAAUGCCCUGCUUUUGUGGGGUGCUCGAGUGGCGAACGGGUGAGUAACACGUGAUUAACCUGCCCUUGACUUUGGGAUAACUUCAGGAAACUGGGGCUAAUACCGGAUAGGAGCUCCUGCUGCAUGGUGGGGGUUGGAAAGUUUCGGCGGUUGGGGAUGGACUCGCGGCUUAUCAGCUUGUUGGUGGGGUAGUGGCUUACCAAGGCUUUGACGGGUAGCCGGCCUGAGAGGGUGACCGGCCAAAUUGGGACUGAGAUACGGCCCAGACUCCUACGGGAGGCAGCAGUGGGGAAUAUUGCACAAUGGGCGGAAGCCUGAUGCAGCAACGCCGCGUGCGGGAUGACGGCCUUCGGGUUGUAAACCGCUUUCGCCUGUGACGAAGCGUGAGUGACGGUAAUGGGUAAAGAAGCACCGGCUAACUACGUG
rnacentral:rRNA from 1 species